rnacentral:lncRNA from 1 species
AGGUAAUGGGAGAAAACUGUCUUCAUGGUGGACAAGUGGAGCACACAGGUUUUCCCACUUCGCAGACCCAGCUCACCACUCUCCGGAUAGUAAUACCUAGCUCUGCUACUUUCCAUCUGAACUGAUUCUACCAGAAAAUUUAUACUGCUACUUAUUCAAGAGACUAAACACGGACUAAAUGUUUAACUCCAAGGUCCUAGAAACAGAUGUGAAUAAGGAUUGAAGCCAAAAAAAGUAGACAUGGAAUGAGACUAUAA